rnacentral:rRNA from 1 species
UACGAAGGGGGCUAGCGUUGUUCGGAAUCACUGGGCGUAAAAGCGCACGUAGGCGGAUGUGCCAGUCAGGGGUGAAAUCCCGGAGCUCAACUUCGGAACUGCCUCUGAUACAGCACGUCUUGAGUCCGGAAGAGGUGGGUGGAAUUCCUAGUGUAGAGGUGAAAUUCGUAGAUAUUAGGAAGAACACCGGUGGCGAAGGCGGCCCACUGGUCCGGUACUGACGCUGAGGUGCGAAAGCGUGGGGAGCAAACAGG